ACCAUAUAUAUUACUCUAAACUUCACAGUUUUAAUAUUUAUCAAAUAUAUUUAUUGUUAACCGGCGGUAACCGGAACACACCUUAAUCGCGAUUUAAACUUCACCCACAAACUAAUAAAAUAAUGUCACUCACUAUUUCAAAUCGUUGUAGAAUAAUUAAUUCUGGGCCGAUUUUCAUUUUUUAUGCAUCAGUCGAUUUGUUUAAAUAAGUUGUUCACGAAUAAAGGUCUACCGACGCGAUUGAAAUAAGUAAAGGUGUUUUCCGACAGGUAAUAUUGUAAAGCUGUCUCGAUUAAAACCACGUGAUUGAUAAGAAGUAUCUCUGGUCAAUUUAUGACCGCGGCAUCGCAGAUAGUCACAAAAGAAAUUAACGACAGCGUACUAAUUAGACAGUUUCCAUAUCUUUUCU
rnacentral:lncRNA from 1 species